rnacentral:lncRNA from 1 species
UUAAUGAUUUACUAAAAUUAUGAGGUAUAAAAUACAUACAUUUCGUACAUUUUGCAUUGAUAAUGUUCAUUUGCAUUGAUAAAGUUCAUUUGCAUUGAGACGCUUAAAUUACAUUCACAAAAUUCUUCCCCAUUGACAAACAACACUAUUGCAUUCAUCAAGGUGGUAAUAUUUCUAUUGAUUAUAUACAUUUCAUUGAAUAAAUGAAGUUCAUCUGCAAUGAUAAUGUUCAUUCACAUUGAAAUUUAGAUAUUUUACAUUUUUACAUUAAACUUAAGUUCAUUUGCAUUUAAAUUUG